GUACGGAUGCCUUUGUGGGAGGUGCUGUUACCACGUCUAAAUCUAAGCCUCUGAUUUUGUAUUCCCUGCACUGUAAGGGGCAGCCCAAGGGGGCCAGGGGUCGGUGGGAGGGGCAUCAAGAAGGAGAAAGCUUUAAAAGGAAAGAUUUACGAGGCCAUGAAGACGUUCUUCCCAGACUCCUGAGUGCAAGGUACAACAUUUCACCCAAAAGAACUGGGAUGGCGUCACCUGGAGCUUAAGAAACUGCACGCAAGUAUUGAAUUCCUAGUGAGAGUUUAAUAAACAUUAUGAAUGAAGAAAAAAUCAACAGAGUAUAUAAAGCUUUUGUAGAUGUACAAAAGGAACUUGCACAUUUCUGAAAAGGCCUUUCGCUUGAACCUCUGCAGAAAGAACUGAUUCCUCAGCGGCAUCAUGAAAGCAAACCAGUUAAUGUUGAUGAAGCUACAAAAUUAAUGGCUCAGUUGUAAAACAGUAGUGAUUCCC
rnacentral:lncRNA from 1 species